rnacentral:rRNA from 1 species
UUAUUUGAGAGUUUGAUCCUGGCUCAGGAUGAACGCUGGCGGCGUGCCUAACACAUGCAAGUUGAGCGAUUUACUUCGGUAAAGAGCGGCGGACGGGUGAGUAACGCGUGGGUAACCUACCCUGUACACACGGAUAACAUAUCGAAAGGUAUGCUAAUACGGGAUAAUAUAUUUGAGAGGCAUCUCUUGAGUAUCAAAGGUGAGCCAGUACAGGAUGGACCCGCGUCUGAUUAGCUAGUUGGUAAGGUAACGGCUUACCAAGGCGACGAUCAGUAGCCGACCUGUGAGGGUGAUCGGCCACAUUGGAACUGAGACACGGUCCAAACUCCUACGGGAGGCAGCAGUGGGGAAUAUUGCACAAUGGGCGAAAGCCUGAUGCAGCAACGCCGCGUGAGUGAUGAAGGCCGUCGGGUCGUAAAACUCUGUCCUCAAGGAAGAUAAUGACGGUACUUGAGGAGGAAGCCCCGGCUAACUACGUGCCAGCAGCCGCGGUAAUACGUAGGGGGCUAGCGUUAUCCGGAUUUACUGGGCGUAAAGGGUGCGUAGGCGGUCUUUCAAGUCAGGAGUGAAAGGCUACGGCUCAACCGUAGUAAGCUCUUGAAACUGGGAGACUUGAGUGCAGGAGAGGAGAGUGGAAUUCCUAGUGUAGCGGUGAAAUGCGUAGAUAUUAGGAGGAACACCAGUUGCGAAGGCGGCUCUCUGGACUGUAACUGACGCUGAGGCACGAAAGCGUGGGGAGCAAACAGGAUUAGAUACCCUGGUAGUCCACGCUGUAAACGAUGAGUACUAGGUGUCGGGGGUUACCCCC